rnacentral:rRNA from 1 species
UGCGUAGAGAUCUGAAGGAAUACCGGUGGCGAAGGCGGCCCCCUGGACAAAGACUGACGCUCAGAUGCGAAAGCGUGGGUAGCAAACAGGAUUAGAUACCCUGGUAGUCCACGCUGUAAACGAUGUCUACUUGGAGGUUGUUGUCUUGAAUGAUGGCUUCGGAGCUAACGCGUUAAGUAGACCGCCUGGGGAGUACGGUCGCAAGAUUAAAACUCAAAUGAAUUGACGGGGGCCCGCACAAGCGGUGGAGCAUGUGGUUUAAUUCGAUGCAACGCGAAGAACCUUACCUACUCUUGACAUCCAGAGAAGCCAGCAGAGAUGCAGGUGUGCCUUCGGGAGCUCUGAGACAGGUGCUGCAUGGCUGUCGUCAGCUCGUGUUGUGAAAUGUUGGGUUAAGUCCCGCAACGAGCGCAACCCUUAUCCUUGUUUGCCAGCACGUAAUGGUGGGAACUCCAGGGAGACUGCCGGUGAUAAACCGGAGGAAGGUGGGGACGACGUCAAGUCAUCAUGGCCCUUACGAGUAGGGCUACACACGUGCUACAAUGGCGUAUACAGAGUGCAGCGAGACCGCGAGGUGUAGCGAAUCACACAAAGUACGUCGUAGUCCGGAUUGGAGUCUGCAACUCGACUCCAUGAAGUCGGAAUCGCUAGUAAUCGUGGAUCAGAAUGCCACGGUGAAUACGUUCCCGGGCCUUGUACACACCGCCCGUCACACCAUGGGAGUGGGUUGCUCCAGAAGUAGAUAGCUUAACCUUCGGGAGGGCGUUUACCACGGAGUGAUCCAUGACUGGGGUGAAGUCGUAACAAGGUAGCCGUAGAUC